rnacentral:rRNA from 1 species
GACGAACGCUGACAGCAUGCCUAGCACAUGCAAGUCAACCUGAAUCUGCGUUUUUACUUUCGGACUGGGUGGUGGACGGGUGAGUAACGCGCAAAGAACUUGCCUCACAGCUAGGGACAACAUCUGAAAACGAAUGCUAAUACAAAAUAUUAUGAUAAUAGGGCAUCCUAUAAUCAUGAAAGCUAUAAGCGCUGUGAGAGAGCUUUGCGUCCCAUUGACUAGGUGGAGAGGUAACGGCUCACCAAGGCGAUGAUCGGUAGCCGGCCUGAGUGGGUGAACGACCAGAAGGGGUCGGAGACACGGCCCGUACUCCUUCGUGAGGCAGGAGGGGGUAAGGAAGGUCAAUGGACCGGGAGUCUGAUCAAGCAAUUCUGUGUGGAGGAUGAUGUUUUUCGGAAUGUAAAGUACUUUCAGUUGGGAAGAAACAAAUGACGGUACCAACAGAAGAAGCGACGGCUAAAUACGUG